rnacentral:rRNA from 1 species
GAUGAACGCUGGCGGCGCGCCUAACACAUGCAAGUCGAACGGUUAAGGCCCCCUUUAGGGGGCGCAUAGAGUGGCGAACGGGUGAGUAACACGUGACCAACCCGCCCCCCCCCACCGGGACAACCUCGGGAAACCGAGGCUAAUACCGGAUACGCCGGGGCCCCCGCAUGGGGGCCCCGGGAAAGCCUUGGCGGGAGGGGACGGGGUCGCGGCCCAUCAGGUAGACGGCGGGGCGAAGGCCCGCCGUGCCGACGACGGGUAGCCGGGCUGAGAGGCCGAUCGGCCACAUUGGGACUGAGACACGGCCCAGACUCCUACGGGAGGCAGCAGUGGGGAAUAUUGCGCAAUGGGCGAAAGCCUGACGCAGCGACGCCGCGUGCGGGAAGGAGGCCUUCGGGUCGUAAACCGCUUUCAGCAGGG